GCUCAGGACGAACGCUGGCGGCGUGCUUAACACAUGCAAGUCGAACGAUGAUGCCCAGCUUGCUGGGUGGAUUAGUGGCGAACGGGUGAGUAACACGUGAGUAACCUGCCCCUGACUCUGGGAUAAGCGUUGGAAACGACGUCUAAUACUGGAUAUGAUCACUGGCCGCAUGGUCUGGUGGUGGAAAGAUUUUUUGGUUGGGGAUGGACUCGCGGCCUAUCAGCUUGUUGGUGAGGUAAUGGCUCACCAAGGCGACGACGGGUAGCCGGCCUGAGAGGGUGACCGGCCACACUGGGACUGAGACACGGCCCAGACUCCUACGGGAGGCAGCAGUGGGGAAUAUUGCACAAUGGGCGAAAGCCUGAUGCAGCAACGCCGCGUGAGGGAUGACGGCCUUCGGGUUGUAAACCUCUUUUAGUAGGGAAGAAGCGAAAGUGACGGUACCUGCAGAAAAAGCACCGGCUAACUACGUGCCAGCAGCCGCGGUAAUACGUAGGGUGCAAGCGUUGUCCGGAAUUAUUGGGCGUAAAGAGCUCGUAGGCGGUUUGUCGCGUCUGCUGUGAAAUCCCGAGGCUCAACCUCGGGCUUGCAGUGGGUACGGGCAGACUAGAGUGCGGUAGGGGAGAUUGGAAUUCCUGGUGUAGCGGUGGAAUGCGCAGAUAUCAGGAGGAACACCGAUGGCGAAGGCAGAUCUCUGGGCCGUAACUGACGCUGAGGAGCGAAAGCAUGGGGAGCGAACAGGAUUAGAUACCCUGGUAGUCCAUGCCGUAAACGUUGGGCGCUAGAUGUAGGGACCUUUCCACGGUUUCUGUGUCGUAGCUAACGCAUUAAG
rnacentral:rRNA from 1 species